rnacentral:rRNA from 1 species
AGUGAACGCUGGCGGUAGGCCUAACACAUGCAAGUCGAACGGCAGCACAGUAAGAGCUUGCUCUUACGGGUGGCGAGUGGCGGACGGGUGAGGAAUACAUCGGAAUCUGCUUUUUCGUGGGGGAUAACGUAGGGAAACUUACGCUAAUACCGCAUACGACCUACGGGUGAAAGCAGGGGAUCUUCGGACCUUGCGCGAUUGAAUGAGCCGAUGUCGGAUUAGCUAGUUGGCGGGGUAAAGGCCCACCAAGGCGACGAUCCGUAGCUGGUCUGAGAGGAUGAUCAGCCACACUGGAACUGAGACACGGUCCAGACUCCUACGGGAGGCAGCAGUGGGGAAUAUUGGACAAUGGGCGCAAGCCUGAUCCAGCCAUACCGCGUGGGUGAAGAAGGCCUUCGGGUUGUAAAGCCCUUUUGUUAGGAAAGAAAAGCAGCAGGUUAAUACCCCGCUGUUCUGACGGUACCCAAAGAAUAAGCACCGGCUAACUUCGU